AGUUGGUAUCAGAUGUUCCUGUCUGCUCUACUGGUGUGUAUCUCUGUGAUUUUUAACAAUAAACUCUGCAUGUUUCCAGCAGGCCCAGAUGUUUCCAGCAGGUCUAGAUGUUUCCAGCAGGUCUAGAUGUUUCCAGCAGGCCCAGAUGUUUCCAGCAGGCCCAGAUGUUUCCAGCAGGCCUAGAUGUUUCCAGCAGGCCCAGAUGUUUCCAGCAGGCCCAGAUGUUUCCAGCAGGUCUAGAUGUUUCCAGCAGGCCCAGGUGUUUCCAGCAGGCCCAGAUGUUUCCAGCAGGCCCAGGUGUUUCCAGCAGGCCCAGAUGUUUCAAGCAGGCCCAGAUGUUUCCAGCAGACCCAGAUGUUUCAAGCAGGCCCAGAUGUUUCCAGCAGGCCCAGAUGUUUCCAGCAGGCCCAGAUGUUUCCUGCAGGUCCAGGUGUUUCCAGCAGGCCCAGAUGUUUCCAGCAGGCCCAGAUGUUUCCAGCAGACCCAGAUGUUUCAAGCAGGCCCAGAUGUUUCCUGCAGGCCCAGAUGUUUCAAGCAGGCCCAGAUGUUUCCAGCAGGCCCAGAUGUUUCCAGCAGGCCCAGAUGUUUCAAGCAGGCCCAGAUGUUUCCAGCAGGCCCAGAUGUUUCAAGCAGGCCCAGGUGUUUCCAGCCGACACU